AACAAGACCGCUAGAGCGUAUCCACAGUGACCUCUGGGGACCAUCACCGGUGUUGUCUGUGCAAGGAUUUAGAUAUUAUGUCAUCUUUGUAGACCAUUUCACAAGAUUCUGUUGGUUUUUCCCUAUGAAGAAUAAAUCAGAUUUCUAUCAUACCUUUGUUAAGUUCCAAACCCUGGUUCAAAACCAAUUUCAAACCACCAUUGGAACCUUUCAAUGCGAUGGAGGAGGUGAAUUCAUCAGUAACCCCUUCCUCACUCUUCUUCAAACCUCUGGAAUCCAACAGCAUAUCUCUUGUCCCUACACGCCACAAAAAAAACGGCUUAGUAGAGCGUAAACACAGACAAAUAACGGAACUUGGUCUCUCGCUGAUGUUUCACAGCAAAUUACCUCAUAAGUAUUGGGUAGAAGCCUUCUUCACUGCUAAUUUCCUCAGCAACCUUCUACCUCACACGGCUCUUGAA
rnacentral:lncRNA from 1 species